AUUGAACGCUGGCGGCAUGCCUUACACAUGCAAGUCGAACGGUAACAGGUUAAGCUGACGAGUGGCGAACGGGUGAGUAAUGUAUCGGAACGUGCCCAGUCGUGGGGGAUAACUACUCGAAAGAGUGGCUAAUACCGCAUACGACCUGAGGGUGAAAGCGGGGGACCGUAAGGCCUCGCGCGAUUGGAGCGGACGAUAUCAGAUUAGCUAGUUGGCGGGGUAAAAGCCCACCAAGGCGACGAUCUGUAGCUGGUCUGAGAGGACGACCAGCCACACUGGGACUGAGACACGGCCCAGACUCCUACGGGAGGCAGCAGUGGGGAAUUUUGGACAAUGGACGCAAGUCUGAUCCAGCCAUGCCGCGUGCGGGAAGAAGGCCUUCGGGUUGUAAACCGCUUUUGUCAGGGAAGAAACGGGUUUCUCUAAUACAGAGACCUAAUGACGGUACCUGAAGAAUAAGCACCGGCUAACUACGUGCCAGCAGCCGCAGUAA
rnacentral:rRNA from 1 species